rnacentral:rRNA from 1 species
GACGAACGCUGGCGGCGUGCUUAACACAUGCAAGUCGAACGGAAAGGCCCUGCUUUUGUGGGGUGCUCGAGUGGCGAACGGGUGAGUAACACGUGAGUAGCCUGCCCUUGACUUUGGGAUAACUUCAGGAAACUGGGGCUAAUACCGGAUAGGAGCUCCUGCUGCAUGGUGGGGGUUGGAAAGUUUCGGCGGUUGGGGAUGGACUCGCGGCUUAUCAGCUUGUUGGUGGGGUAGUGGCUUACCAAGGCUUUGACGGGUAGCCGGCCUGAGAGGGUGACCGGCCACAUUGGGACUGAGAUACGGCCCAGACUCCUACGGGAGGCAGCAGUGGGGAAUAUUGCACAAUGGACGGAAGCCUGAUGCAGCAACGCCGCGUGCGGGAUGACGGCCUUCGGGUUGUAAACCGCUUUCGCCUGUGACGAAGCGUGAGUGACGGUAAUGGGUAAAGAAGCACCGGCUAACUACGUG